CAUAGGUUAAUGAGGCGAACCGGGGGAACUGAAACAUCUAAGUACCCCGAGGAAAAGAAAUCAACCGAGAUUCCCCCAGUAGCGGCGAGCGAACGGGGAGCAGCCCAGAGCCUGAAUCAGUGUGUGUGUUAGUGGAAGCGUCUGGAAAGGCGCGCGAUACAGGGUGACAGCCCCGUACACAAAAAUGCACAUGCUGUGAGCUCGAUGAGUAGGGCGGGACACGUGGUAUCCUGUCUGAAUAUGGGGGGACCAUCCUCCAAGGCUAAAUACUCCUGACUGACCGAUAGUGAACCAGUACCGUGAGGGAAAGGCGAAAAGAACCCCGGCGAGGGGAGUGAAAAAGAACCUGAAACCGUGUACGUACAAGCAGUGGGAGCACAGAGCAAUCUGUGUGACUGCGUACCUUUUGUAUAAUGGGUCAGCGACUUAUAUUCUGUAGCAAGGUUAACCGAAUAGGGGAGCCGAAGGGAAACCGAGUCUUAACUGGGCGUUAAGUUGCAGGGUAUAGACCCGAAACCCGGUGAUCUAGCCAUGGGCAGGUUGAAGGUUGGGUAACACUAACUGGAGGACCGAACCGACUAAUGUUGAAAAAUUAGCGGAUGACUUGUGGCUGGGGGUGAAAGGCCAAUCAAACCGGGAGAUAGCUGGUUCUCCCCGAAAGCUAUUUAGGUAGCGCCUCGUGAAUUCAUCUCCGGGGGUAGAGCACUGUUUCGGCAAGGGGGUCAUCCCGACUUACCAACCCGAUGCAAACUGCGAAUACCGGAGAAUGUUAUCACGGGAGACACACGGCGGGUGCUAACGUCCGUCGUGAAGAGGGAAACAACCCAGACCGCCAGCUAAGGUCCCAAAGUCAUGGUUAAGUGGGAAACGAUGUGGGAAGGCCCAGACAGCCAGGAUGUUGGCUUAGAAGCAGCCAUCAUUUAAAGAAAGCGUAAUAGCUCACUGGUCGAGUCGGCCUGCGCGGAAGAUGUAACGGGGCUAAACCAUGCACCGAAGCUGCGGCAGCGACGCUUAUGCGUUGUUGGGUAGGGGAGCGUUCUGUAAGCCUGUGAAGGUGUACUGUGAGGUAUGCUGGAGGUAUCAGAAGUGCGAAUGCUGACAUAAGUAACGAUAAAGCGGGUGAAAAGCCCGCUCGCCGGAAGACCAAGGGUUCCUGUCCAACGUUAAUCGGGGCAGGGUGAGUCGACCCCUAAGGCGAGGCCGAAAGGCGUAGUCGAUGGGAAACAGGUUAAUAUUCCUGUACUUGGUGUUACUGCGAAGGGGGGACGGAGAAGGCUAUGUUGGCCGGGCGACGGUUGUCCCGGUUUAAGCGUGUAGGCUGGUUUUCCAGGCAAAUCCGGAAAAUCAAGGCUGAGGCGUGAUGACGAGGCACUACGGUGCUGAAGCAACAAAUGCCCUGCUUCCAGGAAAAGCCUCUAAGCAUCAGGUAACAUCAAAUCGUACCCCAAACCGACACAGGUGGUCAGGUAGAGAAUACCAAGGCGCUUGAGAGAACUCGGGUGAAGGAACUAGGCAAAAUGGUGCCGUAACUUCGGGAGAAGGCACGCUGAUAUGUAGGUGAAGCGACUUGCUCGUGGAGCUGAAAUCAGUCGAAGAUACCAGCUGGCUGCAACUGUUUAUUAAAAACACAGCACUGUGCAAACACGAAAGUGGACGUAUACGGUGUGACGCCUGCCCGGUGCCGGAAGGUUAAUUGAUGGGGUCAGCGCAAGCGAAGCUCUUGAUCGAAGCCCCGGUAAACGGCGGCCGUAACUAUAACGGUCCUAAGGUAGCGAAAUUCCUUGUCGGGUAAGUUCCGACCUGCACGAAUGGCGUAAUGAUGGCCAGGCUGUCUCCACCCGAGACUCAGUGAAAUUGAACUCGCUGUGAAGAUGCAGUGUACCCGCGGCAAGACGGAAAGACCCCGUGAACCUUUACUAUAGCUUGACACUGAACAUUGAGCCUUGAUGUGUAGGAUAGGUGGGAGGCUUUGAAGUGUGG
rnacentral:rRNA from 1 species